GGGGAUUUAGCUCAGUGGUUCUGGCAACUGCCUUGCAUGCGCAAGGUCCCGGGUUCGAUUCCUGGUACUCCCCA
rnacentral:tRNA from 1 species